rnacentral:lncRNA from 1 species
CUUCUUCCUCAUACCCCACCAUCCCCAUAUCUUUUUCUUCCUCUAUUUUACAACAAAUAAACUUUUCAAUGAAAAUCAAGAAUCAACAAAUUAAUUUAAUUUUCGCACAUCAAAAUCGAAACAAAAAAAAAUAAAGCUUAUUAAUUAGCCAUGUAAUUACUUCUAAACCAAAAGUACUUUUUAUAUGAUUUUUUUAAUGAAAAUUUAACUUAAGAAAAAUUCAAGAACCAAAAAAAUAAUGAUAACAAAUAUUAAUUAUUAAUUUAAAAUAGAG